rnacentral:rRNA from 1 species
UCAGCCCAUUAGUGCUGCAGUAACGCAUUAAGCACUCCGCCUGGGGAGUACGACCGCAAGUGAAACUCAAAGGAAUUGACGGGGACCGCACAAGCGUGGAGCAUGUGGUUUAAUUCGAAGCAACGGUGGAACCUUACCAAAUCUUGACAUCCUCUGACUCCUCUAGAGUUAGAGUUUUCCCCUUCGGUGCCCUUAGUGACAGGUGGUGCAUGGUUGUCGUCAGCUCGUGUCGUGAGAUGUUGGUUUAAGUCCCGCAACGAGCGCUUCCCUUAAGCUUAGUUGCCAUCAUUAAGUUGGGCACUCUAAGUUGACUGCCGGUGACAAACCGAAGGAAGGUGGGGAUGACGUCAAAUCAUCAUGCCCUUUAUGAUUUGGGCUACACACGUGCUACAAUGGACAAUACACAGGGCAGCGAAACCGCGAGUUCAAGCAAAUCCCAUAAAGUUGUUCUCAGUUCGGAUUGUAGUCUGCAACUCGACUAUAUGAAGCUGGAAUCGCUAGUAAUCGUAGAUCAGCAUGCUACGGUGAAUACGUUCCCGGGUCUUGUACACACCGCCCGUCACACCACGAGAGUUUGUAACACCCGAAGCCGGUGGAGUAACCAUUUGGAGCUAGCCGUCGAAGGUGGGACAAAUGAUUGGAGUGAAGUC